UGAUAGCUUGCUAUCAGGCGUCGAGCGGCGGACGGGUGAGUAAUACUUAGGAAUCUACCUAGUAGUGGGGGAUAGCACGGGGAAACUCGUAUUAAUACCGCAUACGACCUACGGGAGAAAGGGGGCAGUUUACUGCUCUCGCUAUUAGAUGAGCCUAAGUCGGAUUAGCUAGAUGGUGGGGUAAAGGCCUACCAUGGCGACGAUCUGUAGCUGGUCUGAGAGGAUGAUCAGCCACACCGGGACUGAGACACGGCCCGGACUCCUACGGGAGGCAGCAGUGGGGAAUAUUGGACAAUGGGGGAAACCCUGAUCCAGCCAUGCCGCGUGUGUGAAGAAGGCCUUUUGGUUGUAAAGCACUUUAAGCAGUGAAGAAGACUCCGUGGUUAAUACCCACGGACGAUGACAUUAGCUGCAGAAUAAGCACCGGCUAACUCUGUGCCAGCAGCCGCGGUAAUACAGAGGGUGCAAGCGUUAAUCGGAAUUACUGGGCGUAAAGGGAGCGUAGGUGGCUCUAUAAGUCAGAUGUGAAAUCCCCGGGCUUAACCUGGGAACUGCAUCUGAAACUGUAGAGCUAGAGUAUGUGAGAGGGAGGUAGAAUUUCAGGUGUAGCGGUGAAAUGCGUAGAGAUCUGAAGGAAUACCGAUGGCGAAGGCAGCCUCCUGGCAUAAUACUGACACUGAGGCUCGAAAGCGUGGGUAGCAAACAGGAUUAGAUACCCUGGUAGUCCACGCCGUAAACGAUGUCUACUAGUCGUUGGGUCCCUUGAGGACUUAGUGACGCAGCUAACGCAAUAAGUAGACCGCCUGGGGA
rnacentral:rRNA from 3 species